rnacentral:rRNA from 1 species
GAUGAACGCUGGCGGCGUGCCUAAUACAUGCAAGUCGAGCGAACAGACGAGGAGCUUGCUCCUCUGACGUUAGCGGCGGACGGGUGAGUAACACGUGGAUAACCUACCUAUAAGACUGGGAUAACUUCGGGAAACCGGAGCUAAUACCGGACAAUAUUUUGAACCGCAUGGUUCAAUAGUGAAAGACGGUUUUGCUGUCAUUUAUAGAUGGAUCCGCGCCGCAUUAGCUAGUUGGUAAGGUAACGGCUUACCAAGGCAACGAUGCGUAGCCGACCUGAGAGGGUGAUCGGCCACACUGGAACUGAGACACGGUCCAGACUCCUACGGGAGGCAGCAGUAGGGAAUCUUCCGCAAAGGGCGAAAGCCUGACGGAGCAACGCCGCGUGAGUGAUGAAGGUCUUCGGAUCGUAAAACUCUGUUAUUGGGGAAGAACGAAUGUGUAAGUAACUAUGCACGUCUUGACGGUACCUAAUCAGAAAGCCACGGCUAACUAUGUG